rnacentral:rRNA from 1 species
UACGUAGGUGGCGAGCGUUGUACGGAUUUACUGGGCGUAAAGGGAGCGUAGGCGGACUUUUAAGUGAGAUGUGAAAUACCCGGGCUCAACUUGGGUGCUGCAUUUCAAACUGGAAGUCUAGAGUGCAGGAGAGGAGAAUGGAAUUCCUAGUGUAGCGGUGAAAUGCGUAGAGAUUAGGAAGAACACCAGUGGCGAAGGCGAUUCUCUGGACUGUAACUGACGCUGAGGCCCGAAAGCGUGGGGAGCAAACAGGAUUAGAUACCCCUGUAGU